rnacentral:rRNA from 1 species
CCUACGGGGGGCAGCAGUGGGGAAUAUUGCACAAUGGGGGAAACCCUGAUGCAGCGACGCCGCGUGAGUGACGAAGUAUUUCGGUAUGUAAAGCUCUGUCUGCAGGGAAGAAAAUGACGGUACCUGACCAAGAAGCCCCGGCUAACUACGUGCCAGCAGCCGUGGUAAUACGUAGGGGGCAAGCGUUAUCCGGAUUUACUGGGUGUAAAGGGGGCGUAGACGGCAGGGCAAGUCUGGAGGGAAAGGCGGGGGCUCAACCCCCGGACUGCUCUGGAAACUGCCAGGCUGGAGUGCAGGAGAGGUAAGUGGAAUGCGUAGUGUAGCGGUGAAAUGCGUAGAUAUUAGGAGGAACACCAGUGGCGAAGGCGGCUUACUGGAGUGUAACUGACGUUGAGGCUCGAAAGCGUGGGGAGUAAACAGGAUUAGAUACCCCAGUAGUC